GCUCUGCUUCAGGAAAGCCGAAGAGGACGUACACUUCCGCUGCAUGCACGCCUGCGUGCUUACAUCACGCUGAGCGCUUUGACCGCGAAGCAGACAGACAAACAAACAAAAUGGCAGAGGAGAGGAAUUCAUUUAUCCGGUGGAGAUACGCACACUAUUUUAACUAUGUCACCCAAAAAGACAAAAACGUGGUCGUGGAGUGUAAGCUUUGCGUGGGCAGCAAACGUUUGUCAACGGCAGCCAGCUCAUCCUCCAACCUUUUGAAACAUUUGCAGCGUCAACACUCAACUGUUAAGCUUGUCGCUGAAGAGCAACACAGCGAGGCUGCCGCCUCCGACACACCGACACGAUACAAGCAACCUCGUCUUGAAUUACGCUGUCAGGUUUCCCAGAGACUAUGGGUUGAGGAGGAAGUAGAAGUUUGUCAGCUUAGACCUAGUGUCAUUCCAUCAGUGUUAAACUUCCCGGCUAAUCUUGGAAGAGUACGUGCCAGAAAGACCACGACCAAGCAGCCUUGAGAUCUUAGGCAGCGUCUCCCUGAGGUCCCUCUCUAUCUCCCCACACAUCCACCAACCACUGGAACACAUCUCCAAAGUUCUGCCGGGCCAGCUCAGCUUCCCCUCAAAGAAGUGCCGCCACCUGCCAGAUGAAGGAGCCUUUUGAGAGGCAGCUGGCAUCGUGAUUGGACUGUACUUUGGUCUGUUCCAAUCCAGCUUCAGCUCCAGAGACGGCAGGCGGGACGAGUCAACGGAGGCCGGGUGGACGAAGGCAUGCAGCUGAGUACAAUCCAGAAAACAACAGAGGAGGAGUGCAGCGGCCCAGGACCAGAACAAACAGAGUAGCAUCAUAUGUCUCUUAGAAAACAUCAUAGUAUAGAAAAAACGCCAUCAUAUACAUCGUAUAUUGUACAAAUAACAAGUCAAAGGAAAGAGACAUACAUUGUAGAAUUGUAGUAAUUGUGGGCUGACUGAUUUACUGAUUAUCAGUAUUUUAUUUUUUAUUGAUUUACGGUAAUAAAUACAUUUAAAAAUGGCGCUACUUUGGCUCUGAACCUUUAUCUACCUGUGGUCGCUCUGUCUUCUGGAGUGAUUUGAUUGGUUAUACGUAACGAAUAAAACUCCUUUAACUUAACAUCUGUAAACAAAACAAAAAUGUAUCAACAAAGUUUUCUGUUAGAGUUUGUGUUCUUCUAAGUUUAACUCCAAGAUUUUAAAUACUUUCAUUUACUGCAAAUGAAUAUCUACUCCAA
ensembl:lncRNA